AUCAGCAAACCAAAAUCUAAGCCUGUAAAUGCCUCAAAGCCACGAAAUCAAAACACCGAGGACGACCAAUCACAAAGGCCAGCCAGGCCCUAAGCUCCAGCCAAUCAAUAAUUUCCUUACUUUGCUUCUGCGUCUUCUCUAUGAAAGUCUCUCCCCAGCUCCCAUUGGUGGGGUUUGGUGCUGCCUGAUUGGGAUCAAUUUUUACUGAAAUAAACUCUUAAAAUUUUUAGUAUGAUGCAGUUUAUCUUUUAACAGUGCUGGUGUCAGAAGAGGAACCGAAGGAGGUCCCCGAGAGCCCCCAGGAGCAACAAACAACCAGCUGGCCUUUCACUCUCUUCCCAACAAUGUCUGGGUUUCCCUCAAAGCUAUCAAGUGCUAAUUUGAAAAAUAUGUUACCGACAAGUGGGAGAAAAGCAGGCAUCCAAUGUGAAAUGCCCUCUAGGGCGUGGAGGAACUCCCAGAGAGAGAGAGUGCGCGCGCAUGCCUGUGCACCAGGGCUGCGUGCUCUCUGAGCACCAGGAAGAAAUGGGAGCGACUGAUGGAGGCUAAGAAGCUCACUUAUAGCUUGGUGACAUCUUGGACGGCUGGAUGAAACCCUCCGUUGCAUUUAAGGUGCUGUGAACCUGGUGGGAAAGAAGAGACAUGUAGAGCAAUUAUCACAACACAGUAUGGUCUGUGCUAUCAUCUUAAAGGUGGGCUGUCAGUGCUGGGCCUAGGAGGCUCCCUCCUGAUCCCUGACCGCAAAAGAGCUCAGCUUGGUGCAGAAGACAAUAUAUACCUCUAAGCCUUGGCGUCUUUCUCCCUCUGGUCUGAUGGGGCUCAGUCCUGGCGAAAGGUGAAGAACUGGAGACAUAGAGGAUUGAAGAAGAGCAAGUCAUGAUCCAAAUCAAGUCUGAAACCUCUUUCUAUUGAUUGCCUUACCUGUCAGUAACUCAAUAAGCAGUAUUGCCUUUCAAAAAUCAAUGGAUGGAAAUGCUAUGAGGAAACAAAUUGAGAGAAAUCUUCAUUCUUGAAUACAAGCAUGAAACAAUGCCCAUACCUCUCUGUACUCACUUCUCUACACUUGGCUCAGUCAGCUCCACGCACACUGAAAUUAAGGUGAAGGCCAGCUGGACUCCUUUUUUAUUUUUAUUUUUUUAAUUGAGGUAUCAUUGAUGUACAAUAUUAUAUAAGUUUCAAGUGUAAAACAUAGUUGUUCAUGAUUUUUAAAGGGUUUAUUCCAUUUGUAUUUAUUAUGAAAUAUUGGCUAUAUUCCCUGUGUUGUAUAACCAGCUAGACUCUUAUCCUGGGACUUUGGGAAGAAUCUGCUUCCAGGCUCAUUCAAGUUGUUGGUAGAAUUCAGUAUUUUGCAUUUGCAGGACUGAGAUUUUCAUCUUCUUUCUGGCUGUUCUCUGAGGGGUUCACUGUCAUCUCUAGAGGCUUCUCCGAGGUCCUUCCAUGUGGCUCCCUCUAUCUGAGCAUUAGAGAACCUCCCUUAUGUUGUUCCUCACUUUCUCUUUUGCUACCAACUGGAGAAAACUCUGCUUUUAUUGGGCUCAUGUGAUUAGGUUAGGCCUGUAUGCAUAAUCUUUCUGUCUUAGGGUCAAUGUCUGCAAAUUCCCUUUUGCCACAUAAUGUAACAUAAUCAUGGAAUUCAAACCAAGGAGCAAAGGGUACCAUGGGGUCAUAUUAAAAUUCUGCCUGCCAUACCACAGAUUGGGCUCACUAUCUCACUUCCUUUAGGUC